CCGUGUUUUAAAGGAAUAAAAAUCUCUGGGAAGUUCUUUCUCCUAAGCCAGACCCAGGAAACCCCUCAUGAGAGUCUGACAGGACAACGGAGCAUGCCCAUGCGCAGAAGAAAUAUGUGCAACUUGUGGCCCACAGUUCCUGAUGCCUCAGUUUGCUGUGCCCUAUGAGCACAGGGACUCACGAUGGUGUGGGAGUUCAGAGAACAGGGGAGGAAGGAUGGGAGGAAGGGCAAAGUGAUCUUCCCGCUUCUGCCAUUUCCUCAAACUCCUUCAGCUUAAAAUAUUCGGUAUGCCAAGGUGCCAUAUUUCGGAGUAGUGUGUCCUGAACCAGAUCAGUCUGCCAAGCAGCUGUUCCUCCAUGAAGACUCGCCUGAAUCUCCUCCCCACCCUUCCCCCCACCUACA
rnacentral:lncRNA from 1 species